AUUGAACGCUGGCGGCAGGCCUAACACAUGCAAGUCGCGCGCGCGGCAGACGGGUGAGUAAUGUAUGGGGCUCUGCCCGAUAGAGGGGGAAAACUACUGGAAACUGUGGAUAAUAGCGCAUACUAUCGUAAGCACCCAUAUGGGAUUAGCUUGUAGGUGGGGUAAAGGCACACCUAGGCCACGAUCUCUAGCUGGUCUGAGAGGAUGAUCAGCCACACUGGGACUGAGACACGGCCCAGACGCCUACGGGAGGCAGCAGUGGGGAAUAUUGCCCAAUGGGCGCAAGCCUGAUGCAGCCAUGCCGCGUGUAUGAAGAAGGCCUUAGGGUUGUAAAGUACUUUCAGUGGGGAGGCGUUACCCACAGAAGAAGCACCGGCUAACUCCGUGCCAGCAGCCGCGGUAAUUC
rnacentral:rRNA from 1 species